UGUUCUCAGCAAGAGCAUCGACUGGCAUAACAUGCCUGACUUUUUUAUUCACAACUUUGCAUCAGACACUGCAGGAGCCAUAGUGGAGAUGAUUAAGAAAGAACCCCGGGACUCUCUCUCCAGCACCAUACGGCUCCAGGCCAUGGCCAUCAUUAUCGAGCUGAGCAAAAAGCAUGUGGUGAAGGCCAUGGGCUCCCACCAGAGAUGGGUCCUGCUGAGAACAUUCCUCAAGAGCGUGUUUUCCCUGCCACUUCUAAUGACAUUGCAGGUGCAAGGAGUAAUCAGGGGUAUAAGCGGCCAGUACACAAAGGUUCUCUUCAUUGAAACAUUGCAGACCCUCAACGAGAUGCUCCAGAGUCUGAUUUUAGAAAAUCCAGUUCCGGCAGAGCUAGAGAGGAUCUUGCAGCUCAUGGACUCCUGGAUGCAGUCCAGGGAAGCUUGCCGGCGGGAGAGGGCUGUAUGGAGCAGCAUACUGCUCCUAAACUUCGUGGCCACAGAAGUCAAACUGGAUGAAGUGUCUCCAUUCACCAGGCUCGGGCACCUGGUUGCAGUGCUGGGGAUCCGCUGUGGGGAUCCCGUCAAGGCGAUCAGCUCAAAGGCAGCAGGGGCUGUUCAUUACCUCGUCUCUAUUGCGUGGCGCCAAAAGAUUGCACAGUUGGACAGAAAGAAUGUGGAAUGGACUGAACAGAGGAACAAGGAAUUUCUGGCUGCUUGGAGCCCCACUGUGGUUUGCAACAGCCCCUCCAGGAUCGCAGAGCUCUUUGGAGUCUAUUUCAACCCAAGAGAGAGGACAGAUUUCAUUCUGACUGUUAUGGAUGGCCUGACGAAUCAUUGCAACAAUAACUGCCAGCCAACUGCAGAGGGAUUGCUGUCUGCCAUGGUGAACAGCGGUGGGACUAAGGUGGAGAAGGCAGCAGACCUUGUGGCUGGGGUUUGCAGCCGGUUGGAUUCAGUCCAGCAGCCCAGCUCCAGGACCCUGAUGAAGAAGUUAGUGGCCCUGCUGGCUGGCGAGGCGGAGCAUCUGGACACAGUGAUCUCAUGCCUUCUGGACUACUCCUUCCCUACAGACAGCAAUGCGGCCGAGCUAUGGCAGUUCCUAUCUGCUGACCCGGCCCUCGGAGGACAGGUGAUGGAGAACCUGGUUGUGAGGCUGCAGAGUCACCACAGCUCUGAGCACCAAGCCUCUCACACGUCUGCUGCCGCCACAUGCGCCCUCUAUGAGAUGAUCUCGGUGAGCAAGUCCAGAGAUGCCACAACCCGCCUCUAUCCUCAGCUGCUAAUGGCUCUUCUUGUCGAAAUCCAUUUCAGCCUGGGACAGAGCAUAGCAGGGGAUAAAGUCUCUGGAAGGGAAAGCAGCCGGCAGAGCCUCCACACCAGCUCUGCAGUGGAGGCUAUAAAGAUGCUGCUUCUCUGUGUUGGCUGCCGUUCCGAGCUGACUGUUAUGGAGAAGGAGCAAGGCUGGAUCCUCCUACAAAGUCCCCAAGAUCACCUCCAUGGGGUGAGCCUGCUGGCCAGAGCCAUGGUGCACUAUGCUUGCCCUGAGACCACAAGGAUGCUGCUGGACCUAGUGAUCCCGCUCCUCGACAGAGGUGAUAAGAAACACAGGCUGACCAUGAUGGCCUUCUUUGUAGAACUUCUGCGUUACGAAGAGGCCAAGAAGCUCCCACAUCCAGACACUUUGGACCGUCUCGAGGAGUGGACAAAACACCCCAGCCCAGUUUUCCGUUCACUUGGUCUAAGAGGACUCAGCAUCCUGGCAACCCAACCAGGGAAGGUGGAACAAGUCAAGGCCCUGCUGCCUGCCAUCCUUUGGGGUUCGGAUGAGAUGGAUGAUGGGAGUAUUCUGGAGGCCAUCUCAGCUGUUCAGAACCUUCUGCAGAGCCUGAAUGGGAGUGAGCUCACCAGCGUGGCCAGGAAGCUAAUCCCCUUAUUCGAUGCUGUGAGACCCCAGGUGCGCUCUGCUGCCAUCAUGCUCUUUACAGAGUUGCUUAACACGGUGAAGAGGAGGCAGAAGCCCCUGCUGCAGGAGGAAGUGACCCGCAGCCUGGUCCCACUGCUCCUUCACUUACAGGACGAGGACCCUGACGUGGGCAAGAGGUGUCAGAAAGCCUUGGCUGGGUGUUUUCAGCUCCUGGGAUGGUCUUGUCCUAAGCAGAUUAACAGCAAGAAGGCUUGGCACACCCAUCCCCGGGUGGUGGACAAGAUCUGCCAGCACUCUGUGCUGAAGCUCAAGAGCGUAUCUGACAUCUUGCUCCAAUGUCUGGAUCACCUCCAAAGCCCCCAGGCUCCAAUACGACGGGCAGCAGCCAUCUUUAUCGCCUCCGAUCCAAAGAUGGAAUGCUGGGCUAGAUGGACCACUGGUCUGAUCGAAUAUGGCUGUUCGUAUGAUCCAGGCCUCUAGUUCCCCUUGGACAGUUAAAUAAAACCCUUCAUCUCUCCAUCCAUUGACAUUAUAUAAUCUCACUUUUCUUUAGACACUUGGGCCAGCACUUUCAAACAUGGAUGUCAAUAGUUAGAUACCUAAAUCCAUACUUCUUCUUCAACGCUUAGCCGAACGGUCGGCCGUAGCAAUUGUUCACCAUUGAUCCGUUCCUGUGCUUGACGGGCCGAGAGCCCAACGUCGGAAUAGACUUGAGGCACCCAUGUAAUAGGGGGCCUGCCUUUGGGCUGCCUGCACCCCUUGAUUGGUGGAAUUGUCUCUCGGAUGUUACGAGCCACUCAGAGAACGGCAUUCGCCGGAACAUCUUGUGGCAUACUCGUGACAUGUCUGAAAAGCAUAAGACGCCAUCUGCAGACAAUGGCCCCAGUAGUCUGUAGACCGGAGCGACCAUAAACAUCUGCUUUACAAAUGAAGUCCUUCCACUCUAUGCCCAAUAUACAACGUUGGCAUUUUAUGUGGAAAGCCUCCAGCUUUGCCCACUCUGAGUGGCGCAGUCCCAAUGUUUCGCAACCGUACAGCAGUACAGAGAGGAUACAGCUCGAUUAGAUCCUGAACUUGGUUGUCGUGCCGAGAUGAUGUUGAUUCCGUAUUCAUUGUAAACGACCCAUGGCAGCGGCUGCAAUGCCACACUCAGGCACCUAAAUAAAUGGCCUGACCUUUCUCAAAUGCUGAAUACCAAGAACUUCUCACUCGAAUCUGCCGAAGCCGUGGCUGUUCAGCUCCUCUGAAAAUCAAUCCACUCGUUUAGAUGCCUGAAUAUAAAUGUUAGUGCCAGACUUUGGACAGUGACAUAGGAAGACAUUGGCCUGAGCCUAUGCAUGGACUCUCAUCCUACAAUCCAACCCCUCAACAGAUACAUCCCAGCUUCUGACUGUGAGCCAUCCAGCUACAAUGGGGAGGCCUAGAUGCUCCCCACAUGAGAGAGGGAAGGAUUUCAGGCCCAAUGCCCAAGUGGGGAAGGAAGAAGCACACGCUCACCUCAGUUGCCAUCUUUGCUGAGGAUGAGUUGCAAGACAGCUGGUUCAUUACAUCAGACAUGGCAUUAUUGACCUUUUCCCUUUCUUCUGAUUAGCCUCCGAUCUCUGAUACAUUCUUUGUGACCUUGUAGGAAGAGAUGGAAUCUGUGCAUUAGCCCUCUCAUGCUACGGAGCCACGAGAAGGUUUGACAGCAGAAGUAGAUGCAGUGUGGACGAAUCUACGAGGGACUAACAGGUUCAUGCCAUAUAGCAGGCCUGCACAACAUACGGCCCACGGCGGCGUGCCUGCCCGUCAACAGGAGCCAGCAAUGCGGGCGGCUGAGUCCAGCCCAAUCAGACCUGCGGUGGCGGGGCUUUCAGGUGCCCCCCCCCUGACCCGAUGCCGGCGCAAGGAUAUUUUUGCGCCCUCGCGCGCCACCGGCCCCCCUGCCCCAAGCAGGACACGGGCACGGAGCCCUCGCGCGCUGCCGGCCCCAC